CACCGCCUGGGGAGUACGACCGCAAGGUUAAAACUCAAAUGAAUUGACGGGGACCCGCACAAGUAGUGGAGCAUGUGGUUUAAUUCGAAGAUACGCGCAGAACCUUACCAACACUUGACAUGUUCGUCGCGACUUUAAGAGAUUAAAGUUUUCGGUUCGGCCGGACGAAACACAGGUGCUGCAUGGCUGUCGUCAGCUCGUGUCGUGAGAUGUUGGGUUAAGUCCCGCAACGAGCGCAACCCUCACUUUUAGUUGCCAUCAUUUAGUUGGGCACUCUGAAAGAACUGCCAGUGAUAAGCUGGAGGAAGGUGGGGAUGACGUCAAGUCCUCAUGGCCCUUACGUGUUGGGCUACACACGUGCUACAAUGGUAUCUACAACAGGAAGCAAAACCGCGAGGUUAAGCAAAUCCUUAAAAGAUACCUCAGUUCGGAUUGCACUCUGCAACUCGAGUGCAUGAAGCUGGAAUUACUAGUAAUCGUGGAUCAGCGUGCCACGGUGAAUGCGUUCCCGGGUCUUGUACACACCGCCCGUCACACCAUGGGAGUUGGUUCUACCUUAAGGCAAGGUUUAAAACCCUUGACCACGGUAUAGUCAGCGACUGGGGUGAAGUCGUAACAAGGUAGCCGUAGGGGAACCUGCGGCUGGAUUACCUCCUUUCUAAGGAUGAAUGAAAGUAAAAUUUCAUUCUAAAUAAUACACAGGUAAUGUUGACCGUCCUCAAUUCUCUUUUUAAAGUAGUGUUGCUCCUUGCAUAGGGGCCCGUAGCUCCAUUGGUUAGAGCACACCCGUGAUAAGGGUGGGGUCGAAAGUUCGAGUCCUUCUUGGCCCAGCAAUUUAAGAUCAGGGGGGGUUAGGUCACCAGGGAGAGGGCCUGAUUUGCAUUCAGGAGGUUAGCGGUUGGAUCCCGUUAUCCUCCACCAAGACACUUAGUUAUAAAAAAUCCUAAAAAAUUAAUAAUUAAUAUCAAUAUUUAUAUCCGAACCUUAGAAAUGUUGUUAGGUAAUGCUUAAAAUAAAAAUUUGAUUCAACACAGAAUUUUUUCUG
rnacentral:sRNA from 1 species